GCAGUUUUGACCAUGUCAGCCAGAGAUAUUGUGGCACUAUACAGGAAAUGAAUGGUUAUGGGAUGGUUUGACAUGGCCCUUUAAGACCAACAUACAAA